AAUAUCAAAAUUUAAAUUUAAAAUUUAAAAUUUGGAAUUUAGAAUAACUUUAAUUUUGAGAUUACAAAUUUUAAAUUUUAAAAAUUUAAAUUUUAAAUUUAAAUAUUUAUAUUUUAAAUUUUUUAAAUAAGAAUAGGGUUGGAACAAUUAAUAAAAAUAAUUUAUUAUAAUAAAAUUAUAAAUUUGAUAAAAAUAAAUAUUUUAAUAAAUUUAUAAAUUUUUUAUUAUUAAUAAAUUUAUAAUUUUUUUUAAAUUUCUACUUAAACUUAAAUUUAAUAAAAAUAAUUUAUUAUAAUAUUUAAAUAUAAUUUAUUAUAAAAUUUAUUAUAAUAUUUAAAUAUAAAUAAUAUUAUUAAUAUAGUACAAUUAAUAAUUUUAUAAUAAAAAAAUGUAUUAUAAUAUAUAACAUAUUAUAUUUAUAUAAUUUAGUUUUAAUUCAAUUCAUAAUUUUUAUUAAGUUUGAAAUUAAAUAUUGGAAUAGCACUAUUCCAUCAAAAUGGUGGAAUAGCAAAUCCCAAUCUAUUCCGGAAUAGUCCGGAAUAGUAAGGUUUGACCGGGAUAAAAUAUCUCGGCCAAAAAUUAUUUUGUUUGGCGGAAUAGCGGGGAUAACUUCCGUUAUCCCCACUUAUACCGCCAACCAAACGGAGCCAAAGUGUUUAU
rnacentral:lncRNA from 1 species